GACGAACGCUGGCGGCGUGCUUAACACAUGCAAGUCGAACGGAGUGGCGAACGGGUGAGUAACACGUGGGUGAUCUGCCUUGCACUUCGGGAUAAGCUUGGGAAAAUGGGUCUAAUAACGGCUAGUGCAUGAUGAGCUCGCGGCCUAUCAGCUUGUUGGUGGGGUAAUGGCGUACCAAGGCGUCGACGGGUAGCCGGCCUGGGAGGGUGUACGGCCACAUUGGGACUGGGAGACGGCCCAGACUCCUACGGGAGGCAGCGGUGGGGAAUAUUGCACAAGGCGCGGAAGCAUGAGGCAGCGACGCCGGGGGGGGGAGGAAGGCCUUCGGGUUGGAAACGCCUUUCGACAGGGACGCGGUACCUGUAUAAGAAGCACCGGCUAACUACGUGCCAGCAGCCGCGGUAAUUC
rnacentral:rRNA from 1 species